rnacentral:rRNA from 1 species
ACGGCUCAGUAACACGUGGCUAACCUGCCCUUGGGAUAGGAACACCCCCGGGAAACUGGGGCUAAUUCCCAAUAGGCGAAGAACUCUGGAAUGAGUCUCCACCAGAAAGGGCAUCUGCGCUAUGCUCGCAGGUGUCGCCCAAGGAUGGGGCCGCGACCGAUCAGGUUGUUGGUGAGGUAAUGGCUCACCAAGCCUUUUACCGGUGCGGGCCGUGGGAGCGGGAGCCCGGAGAUGGGCACUGAGACAAGGGCCCAGGCCCUACGGGGCGCAGCAGUCGCGAAAACUUUGCAAUAAGCGAAAGCUUGACAGGGCUAUCCCGAGUGCCAUCCGCUGAGGAAGGCUUUUACCCAGUCUAGAACGCUGGGGGAAUAAGGAGAGGGCAAGUCUGGUGUCAGCCGCCGCGGUAAUACCAGCUCUCCGAGUGGUGUGGAUGUUUAUUGGGCCUAAAGCAUCCGUAGCUGGCUAGGUUAGUCCCCUGUUAAAUCCACCGAAUUAAUCGUUGGAUUGCGGGGGAUACUGCUUGGCUAGGGGACGAGAGAGGCAGACGGUAUUUCCGGGGUAGGGGUGAAAUCCUAUAAUCCCGGGAAGACCACCAGUGGCGAAGGCUGUCUGCUAGAACGCGCCCGACGGUGAGGGAUGAAAGCUGGGGGAGCGAACCGGAUUAGAUACCCGGGUAGUCCCAGCUGUAAACGAUGCAGACUAGGUGUUUGGACGGCCACGUGCCGUUCUAGUGCCGCAGGGAAGCUGUUAAGUCUGCCGCCUGGGGAGUACGAUCGCAAGAUUGAAACUUAAAGGAAUUGGCGGGGGAGCAC